UACGUAGGGUGCAAGCGUUAAUCGGAAUACUGGGCGUAAAGCGUGCGCAGGCGGUGAUGUAAGACAGUUGUGAAAUCCCCGGGCUCAACCUGGGAACUGCAUCUGUGACUGCAUCGCUGGAGUGCGGCAGAGGGGGAUGGAAUUCCGCGUGUAGCAGUGAAAUGCGUAGAUAUGCGGAGGAACACCGAUGGCGAAGGCAAUCCCCUGGGCCUGCACUGACGCUCAUGCACGAAAGCGUGGGAGCAAACAGG
rnacentral:rRNA from 1 species